rnacentral:lncRNA from 12 species
AUUCCAGUUCAUCCUGUGACCUCUGAGGACUGUCCCAGUGGAUUCCAGUGCCUCCCAGUUCAUCCCAGUGGCUCCCAGUUCAUCCCAGUCACCACCCAGGACCGUCCCAGUGGCUCCCAGUGGACAUCCAGGACCAUCCCAGUCCCUCCCAGUCCUUCCCAGUUUAACCCAGUCCCUCCCAGUUUGAUCUCAAUCCCCUCCCAGUCCCUCCCAGUCCAUCCCAGUUCCUCCUAAACCGCUCCCAGUCCCUCCCAGUUUAUCCCAAUCGCCUCCCAGUUCCCUCCCAGUCCCUCCCAGUAUAACCCAAUCCCCUCCCAGUCCCUCUCAAUCCAUCCCAGUCCCUCCCAGUGCUUCCCAGUUUAUCCCAAUCUCCUCCCAGUCCCUCCCAGUUUAUCCCAGUCCUUCCCAGUCCCUCCCAAUCCAUCCCAGCCCCUCCUAGUUUAUCCCAGUCCUCUCCCAGUCCCUCCCAGUUUAUCCCAGUCCUUCCCAGUCCCUCCCAAUCCAUCCCAGCCCCUCCUAGUUUAUCCCAGUCCUCUCCCAGUCCCUCCCAGUUUAUCCCAGUCCUUCCCAGUCCCUCCCAAUCCAUCCCAGCCCCUCCUAGUUUAUCCCAGUCCUCUCCCAGUCCCUCCCAGUUUAUCCCAGUCCUUCCCAGUCCCUCCCAAUCCAUCCCAGCCCCUCCUAGUUUAUCCCAGUCCUCUCCCAGUCCCUCCCAGUUUAUCCCAGUCCUUCCCAGUCCCUCCCAAUCCAUCCCAGCCCCUCCUAGUUUAUCCCAGUCCUCUCCCAGUCCCUCCCAGUUUAUCCCAGUCCUUCCCAGUCCCUCCCAAUCCAUCCCAGCCCCUCCUAGUUUAUCCCAGUCCUCUCCCAGUCCCUCCCAGUUUAUCCCAGUCCUUCCCAGUCCCUCCCAAUCCAUCCCAGCCCCUCCUAGUUUAUCCCAGUCCUCUCCCAGUCCCUCCCAGUUUAUCCCAGUCCUUCCCAGUCCCUCCCAAUCCAUCCCAGCCCCUCCUAGUUUAUCCCAGUCCUCUCCCAGUCCCUCCCAGUUUAUCCCAGUCCUUCCCAGUCCCUCCCAAUCCAUCCCAGCCCCUCCUAGUUUAUCCCAGUCCUCUCCCAGUCCCUCCCAGUUUAUCCCAGUCCUUCCCAGUCCCUCCCAAUCCAUCCCAGCCCCUCCUAGUUUAUCCCAGUCCUCUCCCAGUCCCUCCCAGUUUAUCCCAGUCCUUCCCAGUCCCUCCCAAUCCAUCCCAGCCCCUCCUAGUUUAUCCCAGUCCUCUCCCAGUCCCUCCCAGUUUAUCCCAGUCCUUCCCAGUCCCUCCCAAUCCAUCCCAGCCCCUCCUAGUUUAUCCCAGUCCUCUCCCAGUCCCUCCCAGUUUAUCCCAGUCCUUCCCAGUCCCUCCCAAUCCAUCCCAGCCCCUCCUAGUUUAUCCCAGUCCUCUCCCAGUCCCUCCCAGUUUAUCCCAGUCCUUCCCAGUCCCUCCCAAUCCAUCCCAGCCCCUCCUAGUUUAUCCCAGUCCUCUCCCAGUCCCUCCCAGUUUAUCCCAGUCCUUCCCAGUCCCUCCCAAUCCAUCCCAGCCCCUCCUAGUUUAUCCCAGUCCUCUCCCAGUCCCUCCCAGUUUAUCCCAGUCCUUCCCAGUCCCUCCCAAUCCAUCCCAGCCCCUCCUAGUUUAUCCCAGUCCUCUCCCAGUCCCUCCCAGUUUAUCCCAGUCCUUCCCAGUCCCUCCCAAUCCAUCCCAGCCCCUCCUAGUUUAUCCCAGUCCUCUCCCAGUCCCUCCCAGUUUAUCCCAGUCCUUCCCAGUCCCUCCCAAUCCAUCCCAGCCCCUCCUAGUUUAUCCCAGUCCUCUCCCAGUCCCUCCCAGUUUAUCCCAGUCCUUCCCAGUCCCUCCCAAUCCAUCCCAGCCCCUCCUAGUUUAUCCCAGUCCUCUCCCAGUCCCUCCCAGUUUAUCCCAGUCCUUCCCAGUCCCUCCCAAUCCAUCCCAGCCCCUCCUAGUUUAUCCCAGUCCUCUCCCAGUCCCUCCCAGUUUAUCCCAGUCCUUCCCAGUCCCUCCCAAUCCAUCCCAGCCCCUCCUAGUUUAUCCCAGUCCUCUCCCAGUCCCUCCCAGUUUAUCCCAGUCCUUCCCAGUCCCUCCCAAUCCAUCCCAGCCCCUCCUAGUUUAUCCCAGUCCUCUCCCAGUCCCUCCCAGUUUAUCCCAGUCCUUCCCAGUCCCUCCCAAUCCAUCCCAGCCCCUCCUAGUUUAUCCCAGUCCUCUCCCAGUCCCUCCCAGUUUAUCCCAGUCCUUCCCAGUCCCUCCCAAUCCAUCCCAGCCCCUCCUAGUUUAUCCCAGUCCUCUCCCAGUCCCUCCCAGUUUAUCCCAGUCCUUCCCAGUCCCUCCCAAUCCAUCCCAGCCCCUCCUAGUUUAUCCCAGUCCUCUCCCAGUCCCUCCCAGUUUAUCCCAGUCCUUCCCAGUCCCUCCCAAUCCAUCCCAGCCCCUCCUAGUUUAUCCCAGUCCUCUCCCAGUCCCUCCCAGUUUAUCCCAGUCCUUCCCAGUCCCUCCCAAUCCAUCCCAGCCCCUCCUAGUUUAUCCCAGUCCUCUCCCAGUCCCUCCCAGUUUAUCCCAGUCCUUCCCAGUCCCUCCCAAUCCAUCCCAGCCCCUCCUAGUUUAUCCCAGUCCUCUCCCAGUCCCUCCCAGUUUAUCCCAGUCCUUCCCAGUCCCUCCCAAUCCAUCCCAGCCCCUCCUAGUUUAUCCCAGUCCUCUCCCAGUCCCUCCCAGUUUAUCCCAGUCCUUCCCAGUCCCUCCCAAUCCAUCCCAGCCCCUCCUAGUUUAUCCCAGUCCUCUCCCAGUCCCUCCCAGUUUAUCCCAGUCCUUCCCAGUCCCUCCCAAUCCAUCCCAGCCCCUCCUAGUUUAUCCCAGUCCUCUCCCAGUCCCUCCCAGUUUAUCCCAGUCCUUCCCAGUCCCUCCCAAUCCAUCCCAGCCCCUCCUAGUUUAUCCCAGUCCUCUCCCAGUCCCUCCCAGUUUAUCCCAGUCCUUCCCAGUCCCUCCCAAUCCAUCCCAGCCCCUCCUAGUUUAUCCCAGUCCUCUCCCAGUCCCUCCCAGUUUAUCCCAGUCCUUCCCAGUCCCUCCCAAUCCAUCCCAGCCCCUCCUAGUUUAUCCCAGUCCUCUCCCAGUCCCUCCCAGUUUAUCCCAGUCCUUCCCAGUCCCUCCCAAUCCAUCCCAGCCCCUCCUAGUUUAUCCCAGUCCUCUCCCAGUCCCUCCCAGUUUAUCCCAGUCCUUCCCAGUCCCUCCCAAUCCAUCCCAGCCCCUCCUAGUUUAUCCCAGUCCUCUCCCAGUCCCUCCCAGUUUAUCCCAGUCCUUCCCAGUCCCUCCCAAUCCAUCCCAGCCCCUCCUAGUUUAUCCCAGUCCUCUCCCAGUCCCUCCCAGUUUAUCCCAGUCCUUCCCAGUCCCUCCCAAUCCAUCCCAGCCCCUCCUAGUUUAUCCCAGUCCUCUCCCAGUCCCUCCCAGUUUAUCCCAGUCCUUCCCAGUCCCUCCCAAUCCAUCCCAGCCCCUCCUAGUUUAUCCCAGUCCUCUCCCAGUCCCUCCCAGUUUAUCCCAGUCCUUCCCAGUCCCUCCCAAUCCAUCCCAGCCCCUCCUAGUUUAUCCCAGUCCUCUCCCAGUCCCUCCCAGUUUAUCCCAGUCCUUCCCAGUCCCUCCCAAUCCAUCCCAGCCCCUCCUAGUUUAUCCCAGUCCUCUCCCAGUCCCUCCCAGUUUAUCCCAGUCCUUCCCAGUCCCUCCCAAUCCAUCCCAGCCCCUCCUAGUUUAUCCCAGUCCUCUCCCAGUCCCUCCCAGUUUAUCCCAGUCCUUCCCAGUCCCUCCCAAUCCAUCCCAGCCCCUCCUAGUUUAUCCCAGUCCUCUCCCAGUCCCUCCCAGUUUAUCCCAGUCCUUCCCAGUCCCUCCCAAUCCAUCCCAGCCCCUCCUAGUUUAUCCCAGUCCUCUCCCAGUCCCUCCCAGUUUAUCCCAGUCCUUCCCAGUCCCUCCCAAUCCAUCCCAGCCCCUCCUAGUUUAUCCCAGUCCUCUCCCAGUCCCUCCCAGUUUAUCCCAGUCCUUCCCAGUCCCUCCCAAUCCAUCCCAGCCCCUCCUAGUUUAUCCCAGUCCUCUCCCAGUCCCUCCCAGUUUAUCCCAGUCCUUCCCAGUCCCUCCCAAUCCAUCCCAGCCCCUCCUAGUUUAUCCCAGUCCUCUCCCAGUCCCUCCCAGUUUAUCCCAGUCCUUCCCAGUCCCUCCCAAUCCAUCCCAGCCCCUCCUAGUUUAUCCCAGUCCUCUCCCAGUCCCUCCCAGUUUAUCCCAGUCCUUCCCAGUCCCUCCCAAUCCAUCCCAGCCCCUCCUAGUUUAUCCCAGUCCUCUCCCAGUCCCUCCCAGUUUAUCCCAGUCCUUCCCAGUCCCUCCCAAUCCAUCCCAGCCCCUCCUAGUUUAUCCCAGUCCUCUCCCAGUCCCUCCCAGUUUAUCCCAGUCCUUCCCAGUCCCUCCCAAUCCAUCCCAGCCCCUCCUAGUUUAUCCCAGUCCUCUCCCAGUCCCUCCCAGUUUAUCCCAGUCCUUCCCAGUCCCUCCCAAUCCAUCCCAGCCCCUCCUAGUUUAUCCCAGUCCUCUCCCAGUCCCUCCCAGUUUAUCCCAGUCCUUCCCAGUCCCUCCCAAUCCAUCCCAGCCCCUCCUAGUUUAUCCCAGUCCUCUCCCAGUCCCUCCCAGUUUAUCCCAGUCCUUCCCAGUCCCUCCCAAUCCAUCCCAGCCCCUCCUAGUUUAUCCCAGUCCUCUCCCAGUCCCUCCCAGUUUAUCCCAGUCCUUCCCAGUCCCUCCCAAUCCAUCCCAGCCCCUCCUAGUUUAUCCCAGUCCUCUCCCAGUCCCUCCCAGUUUAUCCCAGUCCUUCCCAGUCCCUCCCAAUCCAUCCCAGCCCCUCCUAGUUUAUCCCAGUCCUCUCCCAGUCCCUCCCAGUUUAUCCCAGUCCUUCCCAGUCCCUCCCAAUCCAUCCCAGCCCCUCCUAGUUUAUCCCAGUCUGACCAUUACUGACCACCACUGACCCCCGAUGACCCUUGAUGACCACAACUGACCAUUACUGACCACCACUGACCCCUGAUGACCCCUGAUGACCACUAAUGACCACAACUGACCACAAUUGACCCCUGAUGACUCCACUGACCCCUGGUGACCCCUGGUGACCCACAAUGACCCCUCUUGACCCCUGAUGACUCCAAUGACCACCAC